UGAGAUUACAAUGAGGAUUUACAGCUCCCUCUUCUGAUUUUUUAUUUGAAGAAAGUGGCUGGCAGAAUCGAACCAUAAUUUUUUAUGUUGCCAUAACUGAGUAA
rfam:Arabis alpina cultivar Pajares chromosome 8, whole genome shotgun sequence.